ACUCUGGGAUAGAGCCAGGCACAGGAAGAGAUUUGCCUACAACUCUGAGGAGACGAAUUGGAUGCAUGAAACUGAGGAAAGCCUGGAGAGCAUCAAGGCUGGGUGGCUCAAUGGCCUGCACCCUGGAAGCUGCUCUGGUGCAUGGAGAGCUGGUCCUAUGGCUUUCCUUGGGAGGCACUGCUUUGGGCAGCAACAUCAGAUUCUGAGGACUCACCACGGGGUCGGAAGUGGCAACAGGCAGCUUUGUGACUUGGCCAUGGGAAGUGCAGAGCACGCUUACGGUGCAUUGGCUGCUUCUCUAAG